rnacentral:rRNA from 1 species
CAACCAGACUCCUACGGGAGGCAGCAGUGGGGAAUAUUGCACAAUGGGGGAAACCCUGAUGCAACGACGCCGCGUGAGCGAUGAAGUAUUUCGGUAUGUAAAGCUCUAUCAGCAGGGAAGAAAAUGACGGUACCUGACUAAGAAGCCCCGGCUAACUACGUGCCAGCAGCCGCGGUAAUACGUAGGGGGCAAGCGUUAUCCGGAUUUACUGGGUGUAAAGGGAGCGUAGACGGCGAUGCAAGCCAGAUGUGAAAGCCCGGGGCUCAACCCCGGGACUGCAUUUGGAACUGUAAGGCUAGAGUGUCGGAGAGGCAGGCGGAAUUCCUAGUGUAGCGGUGAAAUGCGUAGAUAUUAGGAGGAACACCAGUGGCGAAGGCGGCCUGCUGGACGAUGACUGACGUUGAGGCUCGAAAGCGUGGGGAGCAAACAGGAUUAGAUACCCCGGUACU